AUUGAACGCUGGCGGCAGGCCUAACACAUGCAAGUCGAGCGAGAGGCGGACGGGGGAGUAUUGUAUGUGGAAUGCCCGAUAGAGGGGGAUAACAACUGGAGAAGGUAGCUAAUACCGCAUACUAUCUGAUGACCCAUAUGGGAUUAGCGAGUAGGUGAGGUAAUGGCUCACAUAGGCGACGAUCCCUAGCUGGUCUGAGAGGAUGAUCAGCCACAUGGGAACGGGGACACGGCCAAGACUCCUCCGGAGGCAGCGGUGGGGAAUAUCGGACAAUGGGCGAAAGCCUGAUGAAGCCAGGCCGCGUGUAUGAAGAAGGCCCUAGGGUUGUAAAGUACGUUCAGUGGGGAGGCGUUACCGGCAGAAGAAGCACCGGCUAACUCCGUGCCAGCAGCCGCGGUAAUUC
rnacentral:rRNA from 1 species